AAGGCUUUAGCCUAAUUAAGGCGUCUGCUUUGCACGUAGAAGAUGUGGGUUAAUACCCUGCAAGUCUUA
rnacentral:tRNA from 1 species